AGAACGAACGCUGGCGGCAUGCCUAACACAUGCAAGUCGAACGAGACCUUCGAGUCUAGUGGCGCACGGGUGCGUAACGCGUGGGAAUCUGCCCUUGGGUUCGGAAUAACUUCGGGAAACUGAAGCUAAUACCGGAUGAUGACGUAAGUCCAAAGAUUUAUCGCCCAAGGAUGAGCCCGCGUAGGAUUAGCUAGUUGGUGAGGUAAAGGCUCACCAAGGCGACGAUCCUUAGCUGGUCUGAGAGGAUGAUCAGCCACACUGGGACUGAGACACGGCCCAGACUCCUACGGGAGGCAGCAGUGGGAAUAUUGGACAAUGGGCGAAAGCCUGAUCCAGCAAUGCCGCGUGAGUGAUGAAGGCCUUAGGGUUGUAAAGCUCUUUUACCCGGGAUGAUAAUGACAGUACCGGGAGAAUAAGCUCCGGCUAACUCCGUG
rnacentral:rRNA from 1 species